AAAAUGUUGAGUUCAGUUCAGGGUAGCUUCCCUGUUCUGUUCAUUAAACUCUGGGACAUCAAAACACAGGCUUGCCCUGGCCUGUUUGGCUCAGUGGAGAGAGCGUCAGCCUGCGGAC
rnacentral:snoRNA from 1 species